CCCUCAACUUCCAACGCAAGUCUUGUACUCCAGAAACGGGUGGAUACGCAUUCAACGCCCAACGUAUUUUGACAGGAUUGGUAAUGAAUGAACUGAGGUCUAGUUAUCCUCCUAUAUCAGGUACCAAAAAUUAUAAUGUCCCUGAACAAUAAAUAAGUUCCAAUAGGCAAGUUCAAGUGCAGUUUAGUUUCAUAUAUUUUGCGAAAACCCUCAAUUUCUUCUUUCAUUUCGACAUGUUUCUUUGUAAGUAUUUAAAACCAAUCAUUUCAAAUCAAUUUUCCUUAUUUUCAUAUCUAAUAAACAAUCAUUUCAUAUUUUA